UACGUAGGGUGCAAGCGUUGUCCGGAAUUAUUGGGCGUAAAGAGCUCGUAGGCGGUUUGUCGCGUCGGCUGUGAAAACUCGGGGCUCAACCCCGAGCUUGCAGUCGAUACGGGCAGACUAGAGUUCGGCAGGGGAGACUGGAAUUCCUGGUGUAGCGGUGAAAUGCGCAGAUAUCAGGAGGAACACCGGUGGCGAAGGCGGGUCUCUGGGCCGAUACUGACGCUGAGGAGCGAAAGCGUGGGGAGCGAACAGG
rnacentral:rRNA from 1 species